CUGGUGAUAUGUAAUGGAGGGUGUUGAUGACAAGGUAAAGCCAGCAUGGAGAACACUGUACAGGGGACUGGUGAUAUGUAAUGGAGGGUGUUGAUGACAAGGUAAAGCCAGCAUGGAGAACACUGUACAGGGGACUGGUGAUAUGUAAUGGAGGGUGUUGAUGACAAGGUAAAGCCAGCAUGGAGAACACUGUACAGGGGACUGGUGAUAUGUAAUGGAGGGUGUUGAUGACAAGGUAAAGCCAGCAUGGAGAACACUGUACAGGGGACUGGUGAUAUGUAAUGGAGGGUGUUGAUGACAAGGUAAAGCCAGCAUGGAGAACACUGUACAGGGGACUGGUGAUAUGUAAUGGAGGGUGUUGAUGACAAGGUAAAGCCAGCAUGGAGAACACUGUACAGGGGACUGGUGAUAUGUAAUGGAGGGUGUUGAUGACAAGGCA